rnacentral:tRNA from 1 species
UUCCUGGAGGACUAGUGGUUAGGCCACGGCGCUCUCACCGCUGUGGCCGGGGUUCGAUUCCUGGCCAGGGAA